AAAAGUAGUUCCAAUACCAUGUUUGUUAACUAGGUUAUCUAGGCUGUGGAAGAUUUUAAUGUUGAAUUUUAUAGCUUUACCACGCUCUGCCGUCCUUGUGAAUAUUGUAAUAUUGCAUUUUUUACAAGUUACUCUUCUGUUAAUGUUCCAGCUAGUAACUUUUAUAAUCCUCCUCAAUGAAAUUUUUUUGUAUUCUUCCGCACCGUUAACCCCAAUGGCGGCGCCUCGGCCCCUGGCAGGAGGCAGAUACGAGAUGAAUUCCUCUUUAAUCAGAAAUAAUAAUAAUAAAAACACACACGCGGCUCCGCUGCCUCUCACUCCGGCUUCCCUCGCCGCCGCCGCCGCCUCUCAGGGCCGCUGCGGGCCCUGCGGCCUAGGCCCCGGGCGGCUCCCGACGGGCGGCUCCGGCAGGCGGCACGGUCGCCCGGCGUCUGCUCCCCGCGCUGCUGCCCCCGGACGCCGGGGCUUUCCUCUGGCCCGGACUCUAAGCCCCGCGCACCCUCUCUCAGCCCGCGUCUGUCUCUCCGGGCCUCUCCCGCCGCCUCUGCCAUCACGGUUGCUCCCUCCUCCGUCCUUGCCCCGGCCUCCGUCCUCACAUCCCGGGCACUCUUCCGUUGUCCCUGUGUGCCCUUCUCCGCCCCUGCCCCUGUCGGGGAUCUCUUCUUCCACCUCCCUAGGUUUCCUCUCAGGCUUUUCUCUUUUCCACCGCUUCAUCUUCUGCCUUUCCAGUCUCCACAUUGUUCUCUUCUUUUUUCUUCUCGGAAGACCAGAUGCCAUUUGGGGUGGAGAGUACGGAGUCCUGGUGAUAGGGGAUCGUGGUCCCACACGCGAGAACAGAGGUGCCCAACAUCUGGAAAUCAGAGUCCCAGCGCUGCUGAACAUCUGGAGCGCUAAUCGCAGGAGCCGAGAGCGGCCCCGGAGGUGGGGUCUGGGAAGGGGAUGAGGGGCGGUAUAGCUCAGCUAACGGGGCACUCGAUGCCCCUGUGCUCGCGCCUCCCCAGUCUGCACCACAGGCUGGGAAUCCGCCUCAGCGGAAUACUGAGAGCCGCCCCGCGCCGCCAGUGCCCCUGCGUGUCCUCCCAUCAGCGGAGCCCUAGGUCCGCUAGGAAAGGUUAAUGGCCCUGCGCCCCACUCCCACCUCCACUGCGGGCCUGGAGCGUGCAGAAUGCGUCCCUGGCAUCAGACUUUGGUGGGGAGGGAAAUCCAGGCUGAGAGAACUAGAGACAAAGGACUGUCAGAAAGACAGACGGUAUCAGAGAAACCAAAAAAGGAACAAAAGCUGCAGAGCAGCAUGGCAGAUGUGAGCACCUGCAUCCGGUGGUGGGGGAAGAAGGCUGCGGAGAUGGUCGCAGAGGGGGCCUGCCUGGGGUCCAGGCCCCAACUGGGAGGAGGAGGUUGGCUCAGGGCAAGCAGAAGAAAAGCUGAAGAAGGAUGCACGAGAGGAGGGUCGGUGUGGCAGAUGUAAUUAAUUACUGCAUAUUAAAAUGUUUGUUUACAGAGAUGAACAGCGGCCAGAGG
rnacentral:lncRNA from 1 species